ACCUGGUUGAUCCUGCCAGUAUUCAUAUGCUUGUCUUUAAGAUUAAGCCAUGCAUCUGUAAGUAUGAAAAAAGUCAGACUGUGAAACUACGAAUGGCUCAUUAAAUCAGUUAUAGUUUAUUUGAUAGUAUCUACUACUCCGAUAACCGUAGUAAUUCUAGAGCUAAUACGUGAAACAAACCCCGACUACUUAAAGGGAUGCAUUUAUUAGAUAAAAGUUCGAUAUAGGCUCUGCCCAUUGCUGCGAUGAUUGAUGAUAAAUAAAUGGAUCGUACGGCCAUCGUGCCGGUGACGUAUCAUUCAAAUUUCCAUCCUAUCAUGUUUUGAUGGUAGGAUAGUGGCCGUCUCAACCAUAAACGAUGUCGACCAGGGAUCGGCGGAUGUUGCUUUUAGGACUCCGUCGGUACAUUACGAGAAAUCAAAGUUUUUAGGUUUCGGGGAGAGUACGGUCGCAAGGCUAAUAAUUAAAGGAAUUGAUGGAAGGGCACCAGCAAGAGUGGAGCCUGUGGCUUAAUUUGACUCUACACGGGGAAACUUACCCGGUCCAGACAUAGUAAGGAUUGACAGACUGAGAGCUCUUUCUUGAUUCUAUGGGUGGUGGUGCAUGGCCGUUCUUAGUUGGUGGAGCGAUUUGUCUGGUUAAUUCCAUUAAUGAAUGAGACCUCAGCCUGCUAACUAGACAUGCGGAGGUAUCCCUUCACGGCCAGCUUCUUAAACGGACUACGACCUUUUAGGACGCGAAAGUUUAAGGCAAUAACAUGUCUGUGACUCCCUUAGAUGUUCUGGGCCGCACGCACACUACACUGAUGUAUUCAAUGAGUUUAUAGCCUUGGCCGAUAGGCCGGGGUAUUCUAUGAAAUUUCAUUGUGAUGGGGAUAGAUCAUUGCAAUUGUUGGUCUUCAACGAGGAAAUCCUAGCAAGCGUAAGUUAUCAGCUCGCAUUGACUACGUCCCUGCCCUUUGUACACACCGCCCGUUGGUCCUACCGAUUGAAUGAUCCAGUGAAAUGUUCAGAUCACGGUAGCAUAGGCGGUUCACUGCCCGUGAUGUCGCGAAAAGUCCAUUGAACCUUAUCAUUUAGAGGAAGGAGAAUUUGUAACAAGUUUUGCGUAGAUGAACUUGCGAAAGG
rnacentral:rRNA from 1 species